AAUCUCUUUUAUUUUCUUCUCCAUUCUUCUAUUCUCUUCUUUUUCUCUUUCUCAUCUGUUCUACAUUCUUUUUCCUCCUGUCGUCUCCAAAAUCGAACAUGAGCUUGGUGUUUGUGAGUUGAGUAGCUAAAUUUCUAUAACAUGAUGAUCUGAGUGAGCUGGUGAUGGUGUUGGGUUGAUUUAGUCUGAAGAGAAGAAGAAAUUGAUGUUUUCUGUUAGUGAAGUUAGGGGUUCCAUAAAGAUUUGUUCUGAGAAGAUGUUGAGGAUGAAAUUGAAGGUUUAGGAGAAAGAUUGGAGAUGGGUUUGUAGUGAAUUAAGUUUAGGUCUAAGAAUUAAGUGAGAUUAUGAGUUAGGGAUUGAGAUUUGGUAAACUGAAGUUGUUUUGAAAUUACAGAUUGAUGGAUUCUAGAUGAUGAAGAGCUAAACUUAUCCGAGUUGCAGUUCGAAUAAUUUAACCGGAUAAUUAGAUGAGUUUGUUCAAUUGAGGUUUAGAAUUGGGUGGUUAGUGGAUUCGAUUUUCAUGAAUUAUGGUUUCUGAGUUUUGAUAUUGAUUGAAGAUGAAUGACAAAUUGAAGAUGAAAUCAAGUAAUUAAUAGGGGUUUCUGUAUAAUUGAUGAUGUGUAACUGUUUUUGAUGAAGAAUCAGUAAGUUAAGGCUUCAUGUUCUUCUCAAUUGAGAACUAGAGAUUCACAUGAAAGCUUAGGGAAGAAUUAGAAGUUUGAAUAGAAGGAUUCGAGAUGGGUUUUGAAGAUUUGGGAGUAUUAGAAUGGAAUUGCUUGUGAAAUCAAAGUCUCAAAUGAUGAAACUGGUGUUGGUGAUGUACUUCAAGUCUGGAACGAUAAUUCUAGGGUUCAAUUGAAGUAAGUGAAGUUAUCUUGAGGUAAUACAUUUCUCUGAAAAUUGAGUAAAGUUAUUAUUGUUUUUGUUGAGUUUGAGAAAUUGUUAAUGAGCAAAGAUUGAAAUUGAGAUGAAUGUGUGUGUUGGAAUGGACCCGAGGCUUUGAGAAUGACUGGUGGUGUUACUUUAACUGUGUUUGUGUUGCUGGUAAUGUGAUUGAGUUAUGAAAGUAGGAUAACUGUGUUCGAUAGGAAUUUGGUGUUGAUUGAAGUUGUGUGAUUGUUAAUGGACUCACAGUUGAGUUAGAUGAACGGGGUAUGUGAUGGAGAUGAAAUUGUUUAUCAGUGAUGAUGUAUUGAGAUGCAACUGAAGUUAACUGGUGUUGCAGGGAAUUAUUAUAAGUUGAGAUUAGUGAUUGUGUUUGAAUGGCUAUAAAUGAAUGUAUUGGUGCAGAGUUGCUUUAGUUAAGUUUCAAUUGCAGUUAGUUUUACAGGUUGAGAUUCAGUUUGUUUGUGCCAUGGGGUUGGUGUUGGAAAUUAAUGAGAUGGUGGUGAUGUUGGUGUUGUCUGUGUAGAUGAGUCUGCAGUUAGAGAUGUUGCUGGUACUGAGAUGAAUUUAGUAUUUAAGAAGUAUUAGGUGAUGGAACUGGGAUGUUAUUACAGUUCAUGAGAAUGUGUUAAUGUUAUGAGAGUUGUGGUUGAGCUGAGGGAUAAGGGAAUUGUGAAAUUGUAUGAUGUUGUAGAAUGAAGAGAGGUUAGAUGGUUGAUUAUAGAGUUAUAGAUAGUGUUCCUGUGAAAGCUUGGAACUGCAAUUGCAGUUAGUUAUUAACAACGAUCGAUUCAAAGGACGAACCAGUGGGUCGUGGAUCUCGAUGUAGGCGUGGUUUGUCAUCAAAAGAGUUUCAGAGACAGAUCAGAGUUGCGCAGCGAAUGCUUCAGGGGUUGAGGUCGCUAGUUGAUUAACUUCGAUUAUGUUUAUUAUGUUGUAUAUUUUAUUUGUAAACCAGAUGAAUAUUGUUAUGUAUCAUUUGAGAGGAGUUCUUGUAUAUAUAUUUCUGAACGGGGCUAGUUUUGGGUUAAGUUUUG